GUCGGCUACUAAGGACAUGGAGGGCUGAAUACAGUAAAUUCUGAUUUUCAGGUUGAGAAAAUCCACUCCUAAGGAAGUCAAGUGCCUUGGUGACUGUCAAGUAAAAGCAAGUAUAUACUCAGUUCUCUCCACACUUCCCACAUACUUACCAAGCAAAAAGUCCAUGAAAAAUCUGCAGCAGCCUCUGAUAGCAGGAAGACAUUAUGUGGUACUCCUGAACUUUCACUGCUGGUCCAUCAACUACACCGUGAUUCUCAGCAGCUAAACACUAAAAAUAAAAAUGAUUUUAGGACAGUU